rnacentral:rRNA from 1 species
GACAGAGGCCUCAAGCGUUAGGCGGAAUCACUGGGCUUAAAGCGUGUGUAGGCGGGUCGUUAAGUACCUUGUGAAAUCCCACGGCUCACCCGUGGAACUGCUGGGUAUACUGGCGAUCUUGGGCCAUUUAGGGGCAACUGGAACAAGCGGUGGAGCGGUGAAAUGCGUAGAUAUCAGGAGGAACACCAAUGGCGAAGGCAGCCCCCUGGGCUAACACUGACGCUCAUGCACGAAAGCGUGGGGAGCAAACAGG